CCGACGGUGAGAGAUGAAAGCUAAAGGAGUGAUUAGGAUUAGAUACCCUAGUAAUUUUAGCCGUAAACGAUGGAAACUCACUGCCGAGCGAAAUACAACGAGCGGUGGUCAAGCUAACGCGUGAAGUUUCCCGCCUGGGGAUUACGCUUGCAAAAGUGAAACUCAAAGGAAUUGACGGGGACCCGCACAAGCGGUGGAGUAUGUGGUUUAAUUCGAUGCAACGCGAAAAACCUUACCAGGGUUUGAAAUCAUUUCAAAACUCCUUGAAAGAGGAGCCUCCUUCGGGAUGAAAUGACAGGUGGUGCAUGGCUGUCGUCAGCUCGUGUUGUGAAAUGUCGAGUUAAGUCUCGUAACGAGCGCAACCCAUGUCUCUUGUUGCUCUUUGAGUGCUUAAGAGAGACUGCCGACCAACAUCGGAGGAAGGUGUGGAUGAUGUCAAGUCAGCAUGCCCCUUACAUCCUGGGCUACACACGUACUACAAUGGGAGGGACAAUGAGCUGCAAACCUGCGAAGGCUAGCCAAUCUCAAAAACCCUCUCUCAGUUCGGAUUGCACUCUGCAACUCGAGUGCAUGAAGGUGGAAUCGCUAGUAAUCGCUGGUCAGCUAUACAGCGGUGAAUACGUUCCCGGGUCUUGCACACACCGCCCGU
rnacentral:rRNA from 1 species